ACUCCUACGGGAGGCAGCAGUAGGGAAUCUUCCACAAUGGACGAAAGUCUGAUGGAGCAACGCCGCGUGAACGAUGAAGGCUUUCGGGUCGUAAAGUUCUGUUGUAAGGGAAGAACAAGUGCCGCAGGCAAUGGCGGCACCUUGACGGUACCUUGCGAGAAAGCCACGGCUAACUACGUGCCAGCAGCCGCGGUAAUACGUAGGUGGCAAGCGUUGUCCGGAAUUAUUGGGCGUAAAGCGCGCGCAGGCGGCCUCUUAAGUCUGAUGUGAAAGCCCCCCGGCUCAACCGGGGAGGGCCAUUGGAAACUGGGAGGCUUGAGUAUAGGAGAGAAGAGUGGAAUUCCACGUGUAGCGGUGAAAUGCGUAGAGAUGUGGAGGAACACCAGUGGCGAAGGCGACUCUUUGGCCUAUAACUGACGCUGAGGCGCGAAAGCGU
rnacentral:rRNA from 1 species